rnacentral:rRNA from 1 species
GCCUAAUACAUGCAAGUCGAACGCACAGCGAAAGGUGCUUGCACCUUUCAAGUGAGUGGCGAACGGGUGAGUAACACGUGGACAACCUGCCUCAAGGCUGGGGAUAACAUUUGGAAACAGAUGCUAAUACCGAAUAAAACUUAGUGUCGCAUGACACAAAGUUAAAAGGCGCUUCGGCGUCACCUAGAGAUGGAUCCGCGGUGCAUUAGUUAGUUGGUGGGGUAAAGGCCUACCAAGACAAUGAUGCAUAGCCGAGUUGAGAGACUGAUCGGCCACAUUGGGACUGAGACACGGCCCAAACUCCUACGGGAGGCUGCAGUAGGGAAUCUUCCACAAUGGGCGAAAGCCUGAUGGAGCAACGCCGCGUGUGUGAUGAAGGCUUUCGGGUCGUAAAGCACUGUUGUAUGGGAAGAACAGCUAGAAUAGGAAAUGAUUUUAGUUUGACGGUACCAUACCAGAAAGGGACGGCUAAAUACGUGCCAGCAGCCGCGGUAAUACGUAUGUCCCGAGCGUUAUCCGGAUUUAUUGGGCGUAAAGCGAGCGCAGACGGUUUAUUAAGUCUGAUGUGAAAGCCCGGAGCUCAACUCCGGAAUGGCAUUGGAAACUGGUUAACUUGAGUGCAGUAGAGGUAAGUGGAACUCCAUGUGUAGCGGUGGAAUGCGUAGAUAUAUGGAAGAACACCAGUGGCGAAGGCGGCUUACUGGACUGCAACUGACGUUGAGGCUCGAAAGUGUGGGUAGCAAACAGGAUUAGAUACCCUGGUAGUCCACACCGUAAACGAUGAACACUAGGUGUUAGGAGGUUUCCGCCUCUUAGUGCCGAAGCUAACGCAUUAAGUGUUCCGCCUGGGGAGUACGACCGCAAGGUUGAAACUCAAAGGAAUUGACGGGGACCCGCACAAGCGGUGGAGCAUGUGGUUUAAUUCGAAGCAACGCGAAGAACCUUACCAGGUCUUGACAUCCUUUGAAGCUUUAGAAGAUAGAAGUGUUCUCUUCGGAGACAAGUGACAGGUGGUGCAUGGUCGUCGUCAGCUCGUGUCGUGAGAUGUUGGGUUAAGUCCCGCAACGAGCGCAACCCUUAUUGUUAGUUGCCAGCAUUCAGAUGGGCACUCUAGCGAGACUGCCGGUGACAAACCGGAGGAAGGCGGGG